GCCUGGGUGGCUCAGUCGUUUAAUCAUCUGACUUGGGCUCAGGUCAUGAUCUCACAGCCUGUGGGUUCAAGCCCCACAUCAGGCU
rnacentral:tRNA from 1 species